GGGGCUGUGGCAAAGUAUUAGAGACUCUGCUUGGCACGCAGAAGGUUCCAGGUUCAAUCCCUGGCUUCUCCA
rnacentral:tRNA from 1 species